rnacentral:rRNA from 1 species
GAUGAACGCUGGCGGCGUGCCUAAUACAUGCAAGUCGAGCGAACGGACGAGAAGCUUGCUUCUCUGAUGUUAGCGGCGGACGGGUGAGUAACACGUGGAUAACCUACCUAUAAGACUGGGAUAACUUCGGGAAACCGGAGCUAAUACCGGAUAAUAUUUUGAACCGCAUGGUUCAAAAGUGAAAGACGGUCUUGCGGUCACUUAUAGAUGGAUCCGCGCUGCAUUAGCUAGUUGGUAAGGUAACGGCUUACCAAGGCAACGAUGCAUAGCCGACCUGAGAGGGUGGUCGGCCACACUGGAUCUGAGACACGGUCCCGACUCCUACGGUAGGCAGCAGUAGGGAAUCUUCCGCGAUGCGCCAGUGCCUGACGUAGCGACGUCGCGUGAGUGAUGAAGGUCUUCGGAUCGUUGAACUCUGUUAGUAGUGAAGAACAUAUGCGUAAGUAUCUAUGCACAUCUUGACGGUACCUGAUCAGAAAGCCCCGGCUAACUACGUG